CCUACGGGGGGCUGCAGUGAGGAAUUUUGCGCAAUGGGGGAAACCCUGACGCAGCAACGCCGUGUGAGUGAAGAAGGCUUUCGGGUCGUAAAGCUCUGUCAAGUGGGAAAAAAUGUCUCCGAUGAAUAGUCGGAGGAGUUGAUGGUACCACUAGAGGAAGCACCGGCUAACUCCGUGCCAGCAGCCGCGGUAAUACGGAGGGUGCAAGCGUUAUUCGGAAUUAUUGGGCGUAAAGCGCGUGCAGGCGGUUUGGUAAGUCAGAUGUGAAAGCCCUGGGCUCAACCCAGGAAGUGCAUUUGAAACUACCUUACUUGAGUAUGGGAGAGGAGAGUGGAAUUCCCAGUGUAGAGGUGAAAUUCGUAGAUAUUGGGAAGAACACCCGUGGCGAAGGCGACUCUCUGGACCAAUACUGACGCUGAGACGCGAAAGCGUGGGGAGCAAACAGGAUUAGAUACCCCAGUAGUC
rnacentral:rRNA from 1 species